AACGAACGCUGGCGGCAGGCUCAACACAUGCAAGUCGAGCGCCCCGCAAGGGGAGCGGCAGACGGGUGAGUAACGCGUGGGAAUCUACCCAUCUCUACGGAAUAACGCAUGGAAACGUGUGCUACUACCGUAUACGUCCUCCGGGAGAAAGAUUUAUCGGAGAUGGAUGAGCCCGCGUUGGAUUAGCUAGUUGGUGGGGUAAAGGCCUACCAAGGCGACGAUCCAUAGCUGGUCUGAGAGGAUGAUCAGCCACACUGGGACUGAGACACGGCCCAGACUCCUACGGGAGGCAGCAGUGGGGAAUAUUGGACAAUGGGCGCAAGCCUGAUCCGGCCAUGCCGCGUGAGUGAUGAAGGCCCUAGGGUUGUAAGGCUCUUUCACCGGUGAAGAUAAUGACGGUAACCGGAGAAGAAGCCCCGGCUAACUUCGUGCCAGCAGCCGCCGUAAGAC
rnacentral:rRNA from 1 species